GAUGAACGCUGGCGGCGUGCUUAACACAUGCAAGUCGAACGAAGCAUUUGCGACAGAUUUCUUCGGAUUGAAGUUGCUUGUGACUGAGUGGCGGACGGGUGAGUAACGCGUGGGUAACCUGCCUCAUACAGGGGGAUAGCAGCUGGAAACGGCUGGUAAUACCGCAUAAGCGCACAGUACCACAUGGUACAGUGUGAAAAACUCCGGUGGUAUGAGAUGGACCCGCGUCUGAUUAGCUAGUUGGUGAGGUAACGGCCCACCAAGGCGACGAUCAGUAGCCGACCUGAGAGGGUGACCGGCCACAUUGGGACCGAGACACGGCCCAGACUCCUACGGGAGGCAGCAGUGGGGAAUAUUGCACAAUGGAGGAAACUCUGAUGCAGCGACGCCGCGUGAGUGAAGAAGUAGUUCGCUAUGUAAAGCUCUAUCAGCAGGGAAGAUAGUGACGGUACCUGACUAAGAAGCUCCGGCUAAAUACGUGCCAGCCGCCGCCGUAA
rnacentral:rRNA from 1 species